ACUGAAGAGACACCAUUUUUUCUCUUUAAACAAAAACAUUUCAUCAUCAAGGUUGGGUUUUAAUUGCGCCAGGGUGCCUUCCUGCAUAGUUCGUGUUCCCUGACUAGCCUCUUCUUUGUUAUCCGGAAGUAAGGCCUCUCAGAACUCUGUCAUCUGCUUGCUCCACCCCAUACUGUCCAUAAAGAGUACACUGUCGCUGUCUUCAGAGACACCAGAAGAAGGCAUCAGAUCCCAUUACAGAUGGUUGUGAGACACCAUGUGGUUGCUGGGAAUUGAACUCAGGACCUCUGGAGGAGCAGUCAGUGCUUUAAACCACUGGGCCACCUCUCCAGCCCCAAUGAGGAAUGCUCUUGAUCAUAUAAUUUUGAGCAGGGAAGACUCACCCUAAACAUCAGCACCCUCCGAUUACAGCCCAGAUCAAGGGAUGUGGAAGAAGAAACCUUUCUGUUGCCUCUCACCUUGUUGGCAAGUUCCUCUAUCCUGCUGUCCCGGUAUUUCUUCACUGGUAUCAGAACCAAUGUCUUUAGGCUUCUAAUGUAGACUGAAGACCAGCAGCUCUCCGGCGAUCCUCUAGGACUCUGGGACCAGAUUGGGACUGCUGAGACAGACAGCCUUGUAGAUGAAACAACUACCAGAUUCUCCACCCUGCAGGGUGAGCUGUCAACCUCAGAAUGUAGUUUCAAUGCAGGAAGACGAGUAGCUGUGAAGAAUGACAAAGACAGAAGAUAAACGCAGCAGCACCAGGAACAUGAAUUCACUGAGAACAAAAGCCGGUCAGCAGAUGUCUCAGAAAACCCAUUUGGGGAGCUCAGAAUGAGAGCAACCUGAGAAGACACCCAGGCUUUCCUUAUCCAGAACACAGCAGGUUUCAAAGUCACCCCAAGGAGGUGCCGGUUUCUUUCGCUCCUUAGCAAACUCUUCUUCUUCUUCUUCUUUUUAAAAUUGUUCUGACUCUGACCAAAAUGUAUGACCUAAUUUGCCCUAAAAACUAUUUUCGUGUCUGCUUUCUACGUCUCCACGGUAGUGCUUAGAUUUGCCAAGUGUGAGAUCUCACCCCCAAAGUGCUUUUCUUGAAAGUGAUUCCCGACAUCGAGGAGUGGGAUGAUGUAAGACACUUUUCAAAAGUCAUUAUACAAAAUGUAGGGUGAUGUGAGACAGGAAUUGAGAGCCAUAAAGCAGGGACACGGUGCCAGGGUUGGGAAGAUGAGAUUCUGUUGAUUCAAACAAAAUAGCUAUUACUAGAUUGCUGCCGGGGUCAAAUAACCCGUUAUGGGGCCGUAUUUCAAGCCUCUGCAUGCUGCUUUCUGCCAUCUAAUAAUUCUACUACAGAGAAAACCGAAUAGCAACUCUAGCCUGGACCUGGCCUAGCACACAGGAGGCAUUCAGAAGUGUUUGUUCACUUUCCAGUGGCUUCUCAUGGGCCUGGGAGAUAUUCAGAGCUACUGAGAUAUGGUCAGCUGGGAGACCACACCAUCAUGGUGUUACUCAGAGAACAACCUGGGAAGUUCAUUGGCAUAGAAGGAGAUGGGCCUGGAAAUCCAGGGUGACUAGCGAAUUUAUUUCAUAGUUUAACAGUUAAAAAUAUUAUAGUUAAAGAGAGUAAUAGUUGAAAACAAAUACAUGUGUUUUUAAAAUUUAAUACAAAUAUGUAAAAUUACGUGAUCAUAUGGAGCAUGUUCUUUCAAAUCCCUGCUCCUUGUUAUAUGUUUGUGAGCUGUCCCUUCCAUCUGGAGCUGCAAUGUGUAUCGCUCAUUGGAGUGCACUAUCCCAAGGUUGUUACUGUUCACUUAUGAGCCUGCUUCAUACACGGGGCUCUGCCUAGAUCAGCAGUUCUCAACUUGUGGGUCACCACCCCUCUUGGGGGGUGGGGCAAACAACUCACGGGGUCACCUAAGAUCUUCGAAAAAUGCAAUUCAUAACAGUAGCAAAAUUACAGUUAUGAAGCAGCAACAGAGGUAAUUUUAUGGUUGGGGUCGCCACAACAUGAAGAGCUGUACUAAAGAUUCACAGCAUUAGAAAAGCUGAGAAGCCCUGGUCUAUAUGGAUGCAUGGCCUUUGCUAUUUGCUACCAUACAAGCUUUUAAAAAAAUGGUCUGGUAGUUGUCAGUGAGGUUGCUUGAUGUGCUGGCAAGUUCAGGUUGUGAUGAAGUCGAGUGAGAAUUGGGUGUGAAGAUAGGACUGGAAAGUCUCAAAGGUAAUGACUGGAUUAAGGUGCUGGUUCAGAGAAGGGAAGGGCACAGGGUGGGUAGCUUCAGUCAAAAAUAAAUCCUGACUGGAGUGUGGGGUUCAGAUAAACCACCUGAUUUUUAAACAUUGAAGAAGCCACGGGAACCUGUUGGCUCUACUAGUAGAUGGAAUAUUCUGCUUUCGUUUGUCUUGGCUCUGGAUUAUAACGAGGAGCAAGACAGUCCCUGUAUUCCAGGAGCUGUCAAUCUAGUAUCUGGGAUGCCAGUGCAUUGUUGAGGAGUUCCAUGCAGGAAAGGUGGGCACUUGGGAAAAACUUCUCAGUAGAAAUGGCGUUCUACACCUCAGGAAGCUAAGGCCUUGUUGGGCAGUGAUUUCCACAAAGAUAAAACUUCAAGUUUGGGAGGAAGACACAGGAUGACAAAGAGAAGGGAAAAUGGCAGAGCAUCAAGAUGGGGAGAGGGAAGUCAUCAUGAUACAAUGUGAAAA